GCCAUGCUUAGCUCCUGACUGUUACCUUAACGGGAUUCAAAGAUGUUCUCUGAAACAGGAAAACGCGUAGGUUUAUCUUAGCAAUGAAAUGGUGUUGGCAAAACGAUUAUAAAUACGCAGGAAUCAUACGAGCGCCGUGAGCCGAGAAGGAAUCUUUGGGCGUUGCCAGUUUGAUAGAGUAACAAAAAAAGAGUGUGAGAAUUUUGAGAAUGGGCACAGCUUGCCAUUUGGCUAGGUCCCCG